AGGCNUAACACAUGCAAGUCGAGGGGUAACAGGGAAAAGCUUGCUUUUCCGCUGACGACCGGCGCACGGGUGCGUAACGCGUAUGCAACCUACCUUUUACAGGAGUAUAGCCCAGAGAAAUUUGGAUUAAUCCUCCAUAAUAUCUUUUUCAUGCAUAUGAUUUAGAUUAAAGCUUCGGUGGUAAAAGAUGGGCAUGCGUUUUAUUAGCUAGUAGGUGAGGUAACGGCUCACCUAGGCCACGAUAAAUAGGGGCCCUGAGAGGGGGAUCCCCCACACUGGUACUGAGACACGGACCAGACUCCUACGGGAGGCAGCAGUGAGGAAUAUUGGACAAUGGACGAAAGUCUGAUCCAGCCAUGCCGCGUGCAGGAUGACGGCCCUAUGGGUUGUAAACUGCUUUUAUACAGGAAGAAACACCCCCACGUGUGGGGGCUUGACGGUACUGUACGAAUAAGGAUCGGCUAACUCCGUGCCAGCAGCCGCGGUAAUACGGAGGAUCCAAGCGUUAUCCGGAAUUAUUGGGUUUAAAGGGUCCGCAGGCGGUCUAUUAAGUCAGAGGUGAAAUCUUGCAGCUUAACUGUAAAAUUGCCUUUGAUACUGGUAGACUUGAGUCAUUGUGAAGUGGUUAGAAUGUGUGGUGUAGCGGUGAAAUGCAUAGAUAUCACACAGAAUACCGAUUGCGAAGGCAGAUCACUAACAAUGUACUGACGCUCAUGGACGAAAGCGUGGGGAGCGAACAGGAUUAGAUACCCUGGUAGUCCACGCCGUAAACGAUGGAUACUAACUGUUCGGCCUUAGGGUUGAGUGGUUAAGCGAAAGUGAUAAGUAUCCCA
rnacentral:rRNA from 1 species